rnacentral:tRNA from 1 species
GGGGAUUUAGCUCAGCGGCAUAAGCGCCUGCCUUGUAAACAGGCAGUCAUGAGUUCAAUCCCCG